AUGUUUUUGAUUCAACAGCUUCCACUGGAAAUCCUCAGGGAAGUUAUUUUGUCGGCGGGUGACUCUGCAUAUUUGACACUUUCUCUGGUUUGCAGAUGGUUUAGGGUUGUGCUCCGAAGUUUUUCGGAAAGCGGCACAGUUUGCCUGGCUAGAGAUUGUGGCCAACUGGAAGAAUUGUCCUCCUGUCUCCUGACCGGAACGAGUUCAGAUGGAUGUACAGCAUCGCUUGCAGUGCAGAGCCCUUUUCAAGUUUAACCCACCAGGGUACAGGGAAGAGACCGGCGUGGUGAUCUUCUGGGCUUUUGUUUACAUAGGAUUUUGUUCCAAGGACUGUUUGUUUGUUUUUUUGUUUUUUUUGCGGCAUGAAACACAUUUGUGUGUUAAGUUCAUUGAAGGGAAAUAGAGAAUGGGCUGAGAUCAACUGGUUUUGAUUAUUAAUUGAUGUAAUUUAAAGUUAAACUUUGCACUGUAUAAUGUUUUAAUAAAAAAGCUAUGGAAAACACGUGCAUGACAACAGGUUUCAGUCAUUUACAUCAGUCUAUCAUUCUUUAAGGUUUCUCAUAUUUGAUGAUAACAUGAUUUGCUAUGCAUUGCUCAUAAUGGAUUCUUAGUUUAGUUGUGACAGGAUUGUGAGGAUUAAUGAGGUUUUCAGUAGUGCAGUUCAGAAAACAAAUAACAGAAAGUAACAAGUGUUUUUGGGCAAGUUCUUUAGAACCUGUAUAGUUCCUUCCUUGCAAAAAGUAACCAUGGAUUUAUUGUAGUAAAAAUAUUUGUUGGCACAUUAAUUACUGUGAGCUGUAAUUAUAAAAACACCAUAGUUUUACUAUAGUUACUGUAGCAGAACCAUGGUAAAUUUUCGUAGGGGCCAAGGGAAUGUUCAGAAUAUUAUUGGUGACGUUCAGAGACUGGUGACAAUUUGUUACACACACACACACACACAUAUAUAUAUAUAUAUAUAUAUAUAUACACACACACACACACACACAUAUAUGUAUAUAUAUAUAAUUUGAAUAUAUAAAUCAAGGUACUCCAUGACUAUCUACGUAACCAUACUUCGCAUAAUAUUGCCGUGUCAUUUUCAAACCAGCGAGUAAUGCCGAGGUAGCGUCUACACUACAGCCAUUGAGGGAGUAGACCAUUUAUUUUUAUUCUGUUCGUCGUAAUCCAAAACUCUUUGUAUUUAUACGGGAUGUUGUGGAAAUGCAACAAUAAAUGCAAAAACACAACAUGUAUAUUCACUUUUUAAUUUAUAUUAAAAGUUUAUUCAUCUUAGUGUCUACUUCCGCAUUCCAAUCCUGCUAAUAGCGUCAUAAUUCUCUAUACCAAUAAGCUGUAAAAUCGUCACUCAUCUGUACACCAAUAAGCUCAUCUUAAUCAUAAACCAAUAACCGCUGAGGUGGGCGGGGCGACACGUGUCGCUCCGCCCCAACGUGUCGCCCCGCCCCAUCGUCCAGACUGCACUCUGGGAUACUUGAUUCUUCUCACAGAUGGAUUUUAAUUGAUACACAAUGGAGCGCGUUACAAAUGACAGGUGUUCCUCGGUAAUAAUUAAAGUCGCACAAAAACAGUCCCAACGGGGUGGAGCCCGCUUGCAGCUACACUGAAGGAUAUGCUUAUGUGCUCCACAUUACAGCAGGUAAUUUUAACUAACAUUGUUUCCUCAGAGGGCUUUAGUUUUAAUAAUGCACUUUAAAUGUAGCUAUUUUUACCUUUCGCCCAUUUUGUUUUAAUAAUGCACUUUAAAGGUAGCUAUUUUUACUUUUUGCCCAUCAGCCACAAUUGCUGGCGAGUGCCCAAAUAAGGAUUCACAGAUAUGGUCUUUUCAUAUAGGCUUCUAUAAAUAACCCUAAUGGCACUGAACGCGGAGCAACAAAUCAUGUGUUGUUCUUUUGCGCGUUUUAACAAUUUUAAAUGAACUGAACUAAAUGUAAUCCUCGUGAGGACGAAGGCAUUCCCGUAGCCUUAAAUCGGCUUCAGGAAUCUGUGUAGGCCUAUUUGUGCUCCUACCAAUCUUAUUAUCUUUUCCCCAACAUUUCAAAGUAAGAUUCCUGCUGUUAACAUGAACUACAUUAGUAAACAUGAAACAACAAUGAAAAAUACUUCCAAAGUAUUUAGUUAUCAUAGUAUUAAUUUCAACAUUUACUAAUAUAUUAUUAAAAUCAAAAUCUGUAUCUGUUCAUUUCAUUUAAUGGACAUAAACUUAACUAACAACUAACAGCUGUACUUUCAGAACAAUGUAACAAGUGAUAUUUCAAGUUUCUCUGAU
ensembl:lncRNA